rnacentral:misc_RNA from 1 species
UACAGAGGGGGCAAGCGUUAUUCAUAGUAAUUGGGCGUAAAGCGUGUUUGAAUGGUUAUAGAACGUUGCUUGUGAAAGCCUAGAAUUUUCUUUUAGAGAAGUAAGUAAUACAAAGAUAACUCGAGUUAAGCUGAGGUUUUGUGGAACAAGGAGGUGUAGGGGUAAAAUCCAACGAUAUCCCAUGGAACGCCUUCACGUGAAGACAACUUUCUGGGUUUAACUGACGUUUGUACACGGAGGUCUGGGGCGCAAACAGG